CUGAUCGACGUCUUCGUUCUUUGGAGCAGUUCCUAAUUCCUAAACAGCUGUGUUGAGAGGCAGUCGACCAUUCCAAGCGGUCCUUUAUCUGUUUUCGGGGGAAAAUUGAAGACUUUACUUAUUCUGUGAGUGUGGAGGCAAUGUGGACCUACGCAUUAAGACAGAGUACGCCUUAUAAAGAUCAGGAUUUCCCUUGUGUCGUUAUAAAACAAGUGAGGUUGACGGUACUUCGUUAAGUUCUUCCGGUGAAGCUGGACAUGAGGAAACGAAGGAGGGGAAGGGGGUUGGGGGGAAGACACAGAAAAGAAAGAAAACUUAAGGUCACUGGGAAUGAAUCCAUGGCAGAGGAGAUUGAAGAGCAGAUUUUUUCAAGACUGUAGCAUAAUUUGUCCAUUUAUCAUCGCUGAAUGUGUUUCAGCCCCUCUCUUCCCCAAGGAUGAGGAGAACCCCUUAGUAUGGAUUUCACCACUUGUAAGUGAAACCCCUGUACAGGUCAACACCAAUGAAGGCAUUGAUGCAUCCCUUUGCAAUGCAACCAUACUAGAUGGCAAGACUGUUCUGCUAGUAAGCUGAUAACUAGGGAAUUAAUGUGCAGACCUGAGCCAUAUUUACUCCAACCAUUUAGGCCUGUCUGCCCAUUCGCACGACUGGGAUGCACCAUGAUACAAUGUCCGUCACUGGAGGUGUGAUAAACUGAAAAGUUUGUGACUGGAGUUAUGCCG